rnacentral:rRNA from 1 species
UGCGAUAAGCGUCGGUAAGGUGAUAUGAACCGUUAUAACCGGCGAUUUCCGAAUGGGGAAACCCAGUGUGAUUCGUCACACUAUCAUUAACUGAAUCCAUAGGUUAAUGAGGCGAACCGGGGGAACUGAAACAUCUAAGUACCCCGAGGAAAAGAAAUCAACCGAGAUUCCCCCAGUAGCGGCGAGCGAACGGGGAGGAGCCCAGAGCCUGAAUCAGUGUGUGUGUUAGUGGAAGCGUCUGGAAAGGCGCGCGAUACAGGGUGACAGCCCCGUACACAAAAAUGCACAUGCUGUGAGCUCGAUGAGUAGGGCGGGACACGUGGUAUCCUGUCUGAAUAUGGGGGGACCAUCCUCCAAGGCUAAAUACUCCUGACUGACCGAUAGUGAACCAGUACCGUGAGGGAAAGGCGAAAAGAACCCCGGCGAGGGGAGUGAAAAAGAACCUGAAACCGUGUACGUACAAGCAGUGGGAGCACAGAGCAAUCUGUGUGACUGCGUACCUUUUGUAUAAUGGGUCAGCGACUUAUAUUCUGUAGCAAGGUUAACCGAAUAGGGGAGCCGAAGGGAAACCGAGUCUUAACUGGGCGUUAAGUUGCAGGGUAUAGACCCGAAACCCGGUGAUCUAGCCAUGGGCAGGUUGAAGGUUGGGUAACACUAACUGGAGGACCGAACCGACUAAUGUUGAAAAAUUAGCGGAUGACUUGUGGCUGGGGGUGAAAGGCCAAUCAAACCGGGAGAUAGCUGGUUCUCCCCGAAAGCUAUUUAGGUAGCGCCUCGUGAAUUCAUCUCCGGGGGUAGAGCACUGUUUCGGCAAGGGGGUCAUCCCGACUUACCAACCCGAUGCAAACUGCGAAUACCGGAGAAUGUUAUCACGGGAGACACACGGCGGGUGCUAACGUCCGUCGUGAAGAGGGAAACAACCCAGACCGCCAGCUAAGGUCCCAAAGUCAUGGUUAAGUGGGAAACGAUGUGGGAAGGCCCAGACAGCCAGGAUGUUGGCUUAGAAGCAGCCAUCAUUUAAAGAAAGCGUAAUAGCUCACUGGUCGAGUCGGCCUGCGCGGAAGAUGUAACGGGGCUAAACCAUGCACCGAAGCUGCGGCAGCGACGCUUAUGCGUUGUUGGGUAGGGGAGCGUUCUGUAAGCCUGCGAAGGUGUGCUGUGAGGCAUGCUGGAGGUAUCAGAAGUGCGAAUGCUGACAUAAGUAACGAUAAAGCGGGUGAAAAGCCCGCUCGCCGGAAGACCAAGGGUUCCUGUCCAACGUUAAUCGGGGCAGGGUGAGUCGACCCCUAAGGCGAGGCCGAAAGGCGUAGUCGAUGGGAAACAGGUUAAUAUUCCUGUACUUGGUGUUACUGCGAAGGGGGGACGGAGAAGGCUAUGUUGGCCGGGCGACGGUUGUCCCGGUUUAAGCGUGUAGGCUGGUUUUCCAGGCAAAUCCGGAAAAUCAAGGCUGAGGCGUGAUGACGAGGCACUACGGUGCUGAAGCAACAAAUGCCAUGCUUCCAGGAAAAGCCUCUAAGCAUCAGGUAACAUCAAAUCGUACCCCAAACCGACACAGGUGGUCAGGUAGAGAAUACCAAGGCGCUUGAGAGAACUCGGGUGAAGGAACUAGGCAAAAUGGUGCCGUAACUUCGGGAGAAGGCACGCUGAUAUGUAGGUGAAGCGACUUGCUCGUGGAGCUGAAAUCAGUCGAAGAUACCAGCUGGCUGCAACUGUUUAUUAAAAACACAGCACUGUGCAAACACGAAAGUGGACGUAUACGGUGUGACGCCUGCCCGGUGCCGGAAGGUUAAUUGAUGGGGUCAGCGCAAGCGAAGCUCUUGAUCGAAGCCCCGGUAAACGGCGGCCGUAACUAUAACGGUCCUAAGGUAGCGAAAUUCCUUGUCGGGUAAGUUCCGACCUGCACGAAUGGCGUAAUGAUGGCCAGGCUGUCUCCACCCGAGACUCAGUGAAAUUGAACUCGCUGUGAAGAUGCAGUGUACCCGCGGCAAGACGGAAAGACCCCGUGAACCUUUACUAUAGCUUGACACUGAACAUUGAGCCUUGAUGUGUAGGAUAGGUGGGAGGCUUUGAAGUGUGGACGCCAGUCUGCAUGGAGCCGACCUUGAAAUACCACCCUUUAAUGUUUGAUGUUCUAACGUUGACCCGUAAUCCGGGUUGCGGACAGUGUCUGGUGGGUAGUUUGACUGGGGCGGUCUCCUCCUAAAGAGUAACGGAGGAGCACGAAGGUUGGCUAAUCCUGGUCGGACAUCAGGAGGUUAGUGCAAUGGCAUAAGCCAGCUUGACUGCGAGCGUGACGGCGCGAGCAGGUGCGAAAGCAGGUCAUAGUGAUCCGGUGGUUCUGAAUGGAAGGGCCAUCGCUCAACGGAUAAAAGGUACUCCGGGGAUAACAGGCUGAUACCGCCCAAGAGUUCAUAUCGACGGCGGUGUUUGGCACCUCGAUGUCGGCUCAUCACAUCCUGGGGCUGAAGUAGGUCCCAAGGGUAUGGCUGUUCGCCAUUUAAAGUGGUACGCGAGCUGGGUUUAGAACGUCGUGAGACAGUUCGGUCCCUAUCUGCCGUGGGCGCUGGAGAACUGAGGGGGGCUGCUCCUAGUACGAGAGGACCGGAGUGGACGCAUCACUGGUGUUCGGGUUGUCAUGCCAAUGGCACUGCCCGGUAGCUAAAUGCGGAAGAGAUAAGUGCUGAAAGCAUCUAAGCACGAAACUUGCCCCGAGAUGAGUUCUCCCUGACUCCUUGAGAGUCCUGAAGGAACGUUGAAGACGACGACGUUGAU